UUGACCCAAGAUUUAUUACCCUUUAAAAAUAACUCAUGAUACACACCAUGCAUACUGUAGAUAAUGAGGGACAGCAAGAGCAGGAAAAACUUAACUGACAACAUUUAUGAGAACUAUACCAUGGGGACAUAUGAAGGUGGUGACAAGUUUAAAGAUAAUACAAUCAUUUCAAAUUCCUCCGUAACAUAAACAUUGCAAGAGACAUAAUCAGAUUUGCUACUGUUAUAAUUUUUACAUGUAUCUGGAAAAUUUUUUUAAAUAGAAAAUUCUUUCCUUUUCAUCCCAGCUAUCAACAAGUACACAAUGACGGCCAGUCCAAUCCUUAGUACUGAGCUAUGAGGAGC